rnacentral:misc_RNA from 1 species
CAGCUCGGCUUUGCAACAUCUCUUUUCUUUCCGCCACUUAGACCUUACGCCCGAUUCCAUCCCUUACCCGACUCGAUCCUUCGUUCUCAGAGUUCUCUCUCGGAGUAACGUGGCUUUCUUGCAGGUUCCUCUCGUGUGCGUGUUACGACACCCCUCCACUGCCUCCCUCCUCUGCGGCUUCGGUCAUUUUGGCUGCCGUGCGCUCUUGUUGCUGCACUGGUGCGAGCUCUUCUCCCUCGGUGGCCUUUUCCUCAGACAACAUAUUCACUUGCAGUUGGCCCGCAAGCCUACGACGAUGGUCGAGGUGCCGCGUAACUUUCGCCUGCUGGAGGAGCUAGAGACCGGCGAGAAGGGCACAGGAAGCAACCAAAACGUCUCUGUGGGUCUGCGUGACACGGCUGACAUCUUCUUCCACUACUGGAACGGCACCAUUGUAGGCCCCCCUAGCACCGCCUUCGAGUACCGCAUUCUGUCGCUUGAGAUUUACUGCGAUGAGAACUACCCGAAAGUGCCGCCGCACAUCCGCUUCCUCAGCAAGGUGAACCUGCCCUGCGUCGACCCCGAUGGUACGGUGAAUCGCGAGAAGUUCCACGUCUUCAAGAGCUGGGACCGCCGAACAACGAUGGAAAUGUGCCUGUCGGAGCUUCGGAAGGAGAUGGCGCAGCCACAGAACCGCAAGCUGGUGCAGCCACCGGAAGGGUCUAUGUACUAAGAGUGUGCCUGCCGGCGGGUGUAAUAGUGCGAGGCGGCGCCACUGUUCAUUGUCUCUGUGCUUUUCCGUAUCUGCGAAACCGUGAGCUGCGCUCUCACCACCUCCGCAGACACACACGCUCAUUCGCAAGCACUCUUCAGCGAAUGCACAGCAGAAAAAUAGCUAGCGUUCGCUCAGCAGCGUCGGCGGAGCGCCGCGGGCCGCAUCCCGCUCGUCCGAAACCUUCCCCCUCUUUACAUCAUCCCGUGAUGGUCGUGUGUGCCUCUGGGGUCUUCUCCGCCUCCGUGAUUCUUUGAGUUCUCUACUUGCGAGAAAGUUGGCACCAUCGCAGGAGGUGGGCACCACUGUGGCGCUGUUCUCUUGCCUUCGAUGCCAGUCCUUUGCGGCGUUGAUGGGAGAAGGUGGGGAGCAUCGACUGAGCGGGAGCGGAGUAAGGAAAUAGUGGAUGAACAAGAAGAAAAAUGCAGUGAGAACGAACGACAGCGCGCAGACGCGGUGGUGUGUGGAGAGGGAAAGACAAUCAGCAGAGAUAUGAAGACAGAGACGGGCGCACUCCUCCCCCCUCCCCCUCCCCGCAUGAUGACCAGUGGCACCACGUGCCUGCACUCUCGGGCCCAAUCGCUCUGCAACGACCGCUAACAAAAUGAAGGGCAGCGACGUUAGGGCGUGGGGGGGUGCCGAUGUCUCCAGCUCUGUGCCGUUCUGUGCCUUUUGCUUGUGCGCCCAACACCCACACCCACAUCUAUAUGUAUAUGCACAUAUAUAUACACCCGCCCACUCACCCGCAUAUAUAUAUAUAUAUAUAUACACGGACGCUUUUCCCCCCUUCGUGUUCAUCUGUUCUUUGUUUUUCUUCAGUGUGUUUGUGUGUGUGUGUGCGUGUGCUUGUGUGCAUGUAUCUCUGUAUUUACAGUUUGUCUGCCACAUGCCGUGUCAUCGCGGUGGCUUGGGCUUCUCCCAAGUCUGACAUAGCGCUUCUCUCCUCCCCUCGCUUAUGUUUUCCAUGAAAAUAUGCGCAAGAGGAGGAUGCGUGGGCCGAAUUCUCUCCCGUCGACGUGCUGUGUGUCUUUUCUUUUUUUUUUUCGUGUUGUUGCUUUGUGUGCCCCCGCAGGGCUCUCUUCUCCUCUGUCUCUCGAUACGCACACCUCGUUCUGCCUCUUCACUGCUGGCCAGAGCCCGUCUCUUCUCUCUUGUGGUUGCCUUGCGUGAGCAGCGGAGCUUGCCACGUACGGCAGAAAGCGGCCACCAACAUUACUAGUGAAGACGAGGAGGAGGUGUCGCUAUAAGCAGGGCGCUGUACUAUGCUGAACUCUGCAUGCUUGAUGCUGCUUGGGUGUAUGCACAUGUGCAAGCUAUGGUCUCUUUGUGCGCCGGCACAUGUUUUUGCACGGGCCCUUUCCACUUGAAACACCCAUUCCUGCCAAGGGCGUGUGGGCUCAAGAGGUGGAGUACCCCACGCCGCCACAGACUCAUGGCAGCGUCCAACCUGCCGAGGCACAUGCGGGGAAGCCAUCCAGGCGCACGCCCCUCAUGACCUCGGCGGACGUGGAAGAUGGAGACGGCGUCCUCCGCACCCCCAGACAACAGCGCCGUCCUGAAGCUGGCCGCGUGAGGCGCAAAAUGCGAGCACCGCGCGCGCGCUGCCAAGCACAGCUUGCAUGGUGCCUCACGCCCAGACAAGGCAUCGAGAGGUGAGAGGAGCACGAAUGAUGGACGGAAAAGACGCGAAGAGAUCCACACCAAUCAGCCCAAAGGUGCAUGUGAGCGAAAUACGCGGCAUCUCCCACGUCCGACCGGGUGGGCUGAUGAGGCACAGGCGCCGGAAGCGUGACGAGAGCAUGCCGAAUGGCGCCAGCGAGUCCUCCAGAUUCCCGUGUGGCGAGCCGCCGCGCCAUAUUAUGGGGUGCCGCGGCUUGGGGCGACUGAGGGCGGAGGCGUGGCAUGCAGGCAGGGCGCAGGGGCUCAGAGGGCCCUUACCGGCGCCUGGCCAGCUUCCCCCUUGAACUCAUCCGGCAUGCGCCCGGACCACCCGCUAUUGCCCGCGCGACAGACACCACCGCUUCCGCCCCCUCCCCCCCUGGAGCAGGGCCCUGAAGGCGGCCCACUCGGAUCGAGGCGUGCCCGCGAGGCACAUGACCUCGAUUUGGCGGCAGACGGCUCGUCCUGGGCGGCCAGGAGAUUCAGCCGCAGUGCAGCAGAGACAGGUGAGCUGUGGUUGUGUGUAUGCGUCUAUUGGUUGGCACGUUCGUAGUAGAACGACACGCUGAAGAAAAAAUGAUGUUGGGGUCUCUGCACAUACAUAUAUAUGCUUUG